rnacentral:rRNA from 1 species
UGUCAGUCGACGCUGAAGCACCAGCUUGCUGGUGUGAGAUGAGUGGCGAACGGGUGAGUAAUACGUGAGUAACCUGCCCUUGACUCUGGGAUAAGCCCGGGAAACUGGGUCUAAUACUGGAUGCUACAUGUCACCGCAUGGUGGUGUGUGGAAAGGGUUUACUGGUCUUGGAUGGGCUCACGGCCUAUCAGCUUGUUGGUGAGGUAAUGGCUCACCAAGGCGACGACGGGUAGCCGGCCUGAGAGGGUGACCGGCCACACUGGGACUGAGACACGGCCCAGACUCCUACGGGAGGCAGCAGUGGGGAAUAUUGCACAAUGGGCGAAAGCCUGAUGCAGCGACGCCGCGUGAGGGAUGACGGCCUUCGGGUUGUAAACCUCUUUCAGCAGGGAAGAAGCCACAAGUGACGGUACCUGCAGAAGAAGCGCCGGCUAACUACGUGCCAGCAGCCGCGGUAAUACGUAGGGCGCAAGCGUUGUCCGGAAUUAUUGGGCGUAAAGAGCUCGUAGGCGGUUUGUCGCGUCUGCUGUGAAAGCCCGGGGCUUAACCCCGGGUGUGCAGUGGGUACGGGCAGACUAGAGUGCAGUAGGGGAGACUGGAAUUCCUGGUGUAGCGGUGGAAUGCGCAGAUAUCAGGAGGAACACCGAUGGCGAAGGCAGGUCUCUGGGCUGUUACUGACGCUGAGGAGCGAAAGCAUGGGGAGCGAACAGGAUUAGAUACCCUGGUAGUCCAUGCCGUAAACGUUGGGCACUAGGUGUGGGGGACAUUCCACGUUUUCCGCGCCGUAGCUAACGCAUUAAGUGCCCCGCCUGGGGAGUACGGCCGCAAGGCUAAAACUCAAAGGAAUUGACGGGGGCCCGCACAAGCGGCGGAGCAUGCGGAUUAAUUCGAUGCAACGCGAAGAACCUUACCAAGGCUUGACAUAUACCGGAUCGUUCCAGAGAUGGUUCUUCCCCUUUGGGGUCGGUAUACAGGUGGUGCAUGGUUGUCGUCAGCUCGUGUCGUGAGAUGUUGGGUUAAGUCCCGCAACGAGCGCAACCCUCGUUCCAUGUUGCCAGCACGUGAUGGUGGGGACUCAUGGGAGACUGCCGGGGUCAACUCCGAAGGAAGGUGGGGGAUGACGUCAAAUCAUCAUGCC